GCGGCCGCACGGGUGUGGGCCGGGAGAGGGAGGUGGCUCGGCUGGAGCGCGCCGUCCGCCCGACCCCCGCCGCCUCUCGGGCGCCUGCGCUCACGCUGCGGGGCCCAGCGCAUUGUGAGCCGGGUAGGGCUCCAAGCUGGCAGCGUCUGAGAGCUGUCCUGGGCCGGAGGUGGCGCGACCCCUGUGCGGCCUAGAGUGGGCCUGGGGAAGCCAGCUGCCAUGUUCUGAGUACCCUCUGGAAGGGCCUGCGUGGCAAGGAACUGAUGUUUCCAGCCAGCAGCCAGCAAGAACUGCAAGCCUUGUGAAUGAGCUUGGAAGCAGAUCCUCCCCUCACUCAAGCAGUGAUAUGACAACAGCCUGAGACCCAGAGGACACAAACCACAGUCAAAAAAGGUCUUCCUGAGUUCUGAAGGUCAAGCAAUUAGAAUUUUCUCAGGCUUGUAGAAGAGUGGAAUUCUGGAAACCAGUCUUCGCCUCAGGGGAGCAUCUGUUGGAAGUUCUUAGGGAUGCUCAGGCAUAUGGCCUCAGAAACAUGGGCUAUUGAGAAAG
rnacentral:antisense_RNA from 1 species